rnacentral:tRNA from 1 species
UUCGUGGCUUAUUGGUAGAGCAUAUGUUUAGUAUGCACAAGAUCCUGGUUCAAUCCCCAGCAUGAAA